rnacentral:lncRNA from 1 species
UGGUGAAAUAACCAAGGAUAAACAGUUUACUAGAGUCAAAGUGAGGUUUUUUUUCGUUAAUUGUUGUAAUAUAGUUCGGGCCGUGUGUGUGUUCUUUUGCAUUGUUUCAUUCACUGUCAUCCCGGAUCCUGCUAUAGCCAACUAAACGGUAUAAGUUGUGCUAAUUGUUUAUUCGUUGGUCCCUGGUGGAUAGUUGUGUUCAUUGUUUAUUCGUUGGUCCCUGGUAGAUAGUUGUGUUCCUUGUUUAUUCGUUGGUCCCUGGUGGAAUGUUGUGUUCAUUGUUUAUUCGUUGGUCACUGGUGGAAAUAGUUCAUUGUUUAUUCGUUGGUCCCUGGUGGAUCUUGGUGGAAUGUUGUGUUCAUUGUUUAUUCGUUGGUCCCUGGUGAGUAGUUGUUUUCAUUGUUUAUUUUUUGGUCCAUGGUGGAUAGUUAAGUUCAUUGUUUAUUCAUUGUUCCCUGGUAGAUAGUUGUCUCAUUGUUUAUUCGUUGGUCCCUGGUUGAUAGUUGUGUUCAUUGUUUAUUCGUUGGUCCCUUGUGGAUAGUUUUGGUCUCUUGUGGAUAGUUGAGUUCAUUGUUUAUUCGUUGGUCCCUGGUGGAUAGUUUUCUCAUUGUUUAUUCGUUGGUCCCUAGUUGAUAGUUGUGUUCAUUGUUUUAUUCGUUGGUCCCUGGUGGAUAGUUCAGUUCAUUGUUUAUUCGUUGGUCUCUGGUGGAUAUUGUCUCAUUGUUUAUUCGUUGGUCCCUGUUUGAUAGUUUUCUCAUUGUUUAUUCGUUGGCCCCUGGUGGAUAGUUGUUUCAUUGUUUAUUCGUUGGUCCCUGGUUGAUAGUUAUGUUCAUUGUUCAUUCGUUGGUCCUUGGUGGAUAGUUGAGUUCAUUGUUUAUUCGUUGGUCACUGGUUGAUAGUUGUCUCAUUGUUUAUUCGUUUGUCUCUGGUUGAUAGUUGUCUCAUUGUUUAUUCGUUGGUCCCUGGUGGAUAGUUGUCUCAUUGUUUAUUCGUUGGUCUCUGGUGGAUAGUUGUCUCAUUGUUUAUUCGUUGGUCCCUAGUUGAUAGUUGUCUCAUUGUUUAUUCGUUGGUCCCUGGUGGAUAGUUGUUUCAUUGUUUAUUCGUUGGUCCCUGGUGGAUAGUUGUCUCAUUGUUUAUUCGUUGGUCCCUGGUGGAUAGUUGUCUCAUUGUUUAUUCGCUGGUGGUGGAUAGUUUGUCUCAUUGUUUAUUCAUUGGUCUCUGGUUGAUAUUUAUGUUCAUUGUAUAUUCGUUGGUCCCUGGUGGAUAGUUGUUUUCAUUGUUUAUUCGUUGGUCCCUGGUGGAUAGUUGUCUAAUUGUUUUUCGUUGUCCUGGUGGAUAGUUUGUGUUCAUUGUUUAUUCUUGGUCCCUGUGUGAUUGUUUAUUGUCUCAUUGUUUAUUCGUUGGUCCCUGGUGGAUAGUUGUCUCAUUGUUUAUUCGUUGGUCUCUGGUGGAUAGUUGUUUUCAUUGUUUAUUCUUGGUCCUGGUGGAUAGUUGUUUAUUGUUUUAUCGCUGGUCCCUGGUUGAUAGUUGAUUCAUUGUUUAUUCAUUUCCCUGGUGGAUAGUUGUUCGUUGGUCCUGUGGAUAGUUGUUUUGUUUUGUCCUGUGGAUAGUUGUUUCUGUUUUUUUCGUUGGUCCCUGGUUGAUAGUUGAGUUCAUUGUUUAUUCAUUGUUCCCUGGUGAUAGUUGUCUCAUUGUUUAUUCGUUGGUCCCUGGUGGAUAGUUGUUUUUCAUUGUUUAUUCUUGUCUGGUGGAUAGUUGUUUCAUUGUUUUUCGUGGUCCCUGGUUGAUAGUUGAGUUCAUUGUUUAUUCAUUGUCCCUGGUGGAUAGUUGUCUCAUUGUUUAUUCGUUGUCCCCUGGGUGGAUAGUUGUUUUCAUUGUUUAUUCCUUGGUCCCUGGUGGAUAGUUGUUUCAUUGUUUUUUCCUGGUCCCUGGUUGAUAGUUGAGUUCAUUGUUUAUUCAUGUUUCCCUGGUGGAUAGUUGUCUCAUUGUUUAUUCGUUGGUCCUGGUGGAUAGUUGUUUUCAUUGUUUAUUCCUUGGUCCCUGGUGGAUAGUUGUUUCAUUGUUUUUUUCGCUGGUCCCUGGUGAUAGUUGAGUUCAUUGUUUAUUCAUUGUCCCUGGUGGAUAGUUGUUCAUUGUCAAUUGUUUAUUCCUGGUCCCUGGUGGAUAGUUGUUUCAUUGUUUAUCUUGGUCCCUGUGGAUUGUUUCAUUGUUUUUCGCUGGUCCCUGGUUGAUAGUUGAGUUCAUUGUUUAUUCAUUGUUCCCUGUGGAUAGUUGUCUCAUGUUUAUUCGUUGGUCCUGGUGGAUAGAUGUUUCAUUGUUUUAUUCCUUGGUCCCUGGUGGAUAGUUGUUUUCAUUGUUUUUUCGCUGUCCCUGGUUGAUAGUUGAGUUCAUUGUUUAUUCAUUGUUCCCUGGUCGAUAGUUGGUCUCAUUGUUUAUUCGUUUGUUGGUCCCUGGUGGAUAGUUGUUUCAUUGUUUAUUCCUUGGUCCCUGGUGGAUAGUUGUUUCAUUGUUUUUUCGCUGGUCCCUGGUUGAUAGUUGAGUUCAUUGUUUAUUCAUUGUUCCCUGGUCGAUAGUUGUCUCAUUGUUUAUUUGUUGGUCCCUGGUGGAUAGUUGUUUUCAUUGUUUAUUCCUUGGUCCCUGGUGGAUAGUUGUUUCAUUGUUUUUUUCGCUGGUCCCUGGUUGAUAGUUGAGUUCAUUGUUUAUUCAUUGUUCCCUGGUGGAUAGUUGUCUCAUUGUUUAUCGUUGUCCCUGGUGGAUAGUUGUUUUCAUUGUUUUUCCUUGUCCUGGUGGAUAGUUGUUUCAUUUUUUUUUCGCUGGUCCCUGGUUGAUAGUUGAGUUCAUUGUUAUUCAUUGUUCCCUGGUGGAUAGUUGUCUCAUUGUUAUCGUUUGGUCUCUGUGGAUAGUUGUUAUCAUUGUUUAUUCCUUGGUCCCUUGUGGAUAGUUGUCUCAUUGUUUAUUCGUUGGUCCCUUGUGGAUAGUUGUCUCAUUGUUUAUUCGUUGGUCCCUGGUGGAUAGUUGCUCAUUGUUUAUUCAUUUGGUCCUGGUGAUAGUUAUGUUUCAUUGUAUAUAUUUGGUUCCUGUGGAUAGUUGUUUUCAUUGUUUAUUCUUGGUCCUUGUGGAUAGUUGUCUCAUUGUUAUUCGUUGUCCCGGUUGGAUAGUUGUUCAUUGUUUAUUCGUUGGUCCCUGGUGGAUAGUUGUCUCAUUGUUUAUUCGCUGGUCCCUGGUGGAUAGUUGUCUCAUUGUUUAUUCGUUGGUCCCUGGUUGAUAGUUUGUCUCAUGUUUUUUCGUUGGUUCCCUGGUGGAUAGUUGUCUCAUUGUUUAAUCGCUGGUCCCUGGUGGAUAGUUGUCUCAUUGUUUAUUCAUUGGUCUCUGGUUGAUAUUUAUGUUCAUUGUAUAUUCGUUGGUCCCUGGUGGAUAGUUGUUUUCAUUGUUUAUUCGUUGGUCCUGGUGAUAGUUGUUCUUGUUUAUCGUUGGUCCUGGUGGAUAGUUGUGUUCAUUGUUUAUUCGUUGGUCCCUGGUGAUAGUUGUCUUCAUUGUUUAUUCGUUGGUCCCUGGUGGAAUAGUUGUCUCAUUGUUUAUUCGUUGGUCCCUGGUGAUAGUUGUUUUCAUUGUUUAUUCCUUGUCCCUGGUGGAUAGUUGUUUCAUUGUUUUUCGCUGGUCCCUGGUUGAUAGUUGAGUUCAUUGUUUAUUCAUUGUUCCCUGGUGGAUAGUUGUCUCAUUGUUUAUUCGUUGGUCCCUGGUGGAUAGUUGUUUUCAUUGUUUAUUCCUUGUCCUGGUGGAGUUGUUUCAUUGUUUUUCGUCCCUGGUUGAUUAUUGUUAUUCAUUGUUUUGGUGGAUAGUUUCUCAUUGUUUUAUUCGUUGGUCCCUGGUGGAUAGUUGUUUUUCAUUGUUUAUUCCUUGGUCCCUGGUGGAUAGUUGUUUCAUUGUUUUUUCGCUUGGUCCUGGUUGAUAGUUGAGUUCAUUGUUUAUUCAUUGUUGGUCCCUGGUGGAUAGUUGUUCGUCAUUGUUUAUUCGUUGGUCCCUGGUGGAUAGUUGUUUUCAUUGUUUUUUCCUUGGUCCCCUGGUGGAUAGUUGUUUCAUUGUUUAUUCGUGGUCCCUGGUUGAUAGUUGAGUUCAUUGUUUAUUCAUUGUUCCUGGUGGAUAGUUGUUUCAUUGUUUAUUCGUUGGUCCCUGGUGGAUGAUGUUUCAUUGUUUAUUCCUUGGUCCCUGGUGGAUAGUUGUUUCAUUGUUUUUUCGCUGGUCCCUGGUUGAUAGUUGAGUUCAUUGUUUAUUCAUUGUUCCCUGGUGGAUAGUUGUCUUAUUGUUUAUUCGUUGGCCCCUGGUGGAUAGUUGUCUCAUUGUUUAUUCGUUGGUCCCUGGUGGAUAGUUGUUUUCAUUGUUUAUUCGUUGGUCCCUGGUUGAUAGUUGAGUUCAUUGUUUAUUUCGUUGGUCCCUGGUGGAUAGUUGUCUCAUUGUUUAUUCGUUGGUCUCCUGGUGGAUAGUUGUAUUCAUUGUUUAUUGCUUGGUCCCUUGUGGAUAGUUGUCUCAUUGUUAUAUUCGUUGGUCCCUUGGUGGAUAGUUGUCUCAUUGUUUAUUCGUUGGUCCCUGGUGGAUAGUUGUUCAUUGUUUAUUCAUUGGUCCCUGGUUGAUAGUUAUGUUCAUUGUUUAUUCGUUGGUCCCUGGUGGAUAGUUGUCUCAUUGUUUAUUCGUUGGUCCCUGGUGGAUAGUUGAGUUCAUUGUUUAUUCGUUGGUCCCUGGUGGAUAGUUGUCUCAUUGUUUAUUCGUUGGUCCCCGGUUGAUAGUUGUCUCAUUGUUUAUUCAUUGGUCUCUGGUUGAUAGUUAUGUUCAUUGUUUAUUCGUUUGUCCCUGGUGGAUAGUUGUCUCAUUGUUUAUUCGUUUGUCCUUGGUGGAUAGUUGUCUCAUUGUUCAUUCGUUGGUCCCAGGUGGAUAGUUGUCUCAUUGUUUAUCCGUUGGUCCCUGGUGGAUAGUUGAGUUCAUUGUUUAUUCGUUGGUCCCUGGUUGAUAGUUGUCUCAUUGUUUAUUCGUUGGUCCCUGGUGGAUAGUUUU